AUCUAUAGCCAUGCCACCCUGAACAAGCCCGAUCCCAUCUGAUCUCGGAAGUUAAACAGGGGUGGGCCUGGUUAGUACUUGGAUGGGAGACCACCAGGUGCUAUAGGCG
rnacentral:rRNA from 1 species